GACGAACGCUGGCGGCGUGCUUAACACAUGCAAGUCGAACGGAAAGGCCCUGCUUUUGUGGGGUGCUCGAGUGGCGAACGGGUGAGUAACACGUGAGUAACCUGCCCUUGACUUUGGGAUAACUUCAGGAAACUGGGGCUAAUACCGGAUAGGAGCUCCUGCUGCAUGGUGGGGGUUGGAAAGUUUCGGCGGUUGGGGAUGGACUCGCGGCUUAUCAGCUUGUUGGUGGGGUAGUGGCUUACCAAGGCGUUGACGGGUAGCCGGCCUGAGAGGGUGACCGGCGACAUUGGGACUGAGGUACGGCCCAGACGCCUACGGGAGGCAGCAGUGGGGAAUAUUGCACAAUGGGCGGAGGCCUGAUGAAGCAACGCCGCGUGCGGGAUAACGGCCUUGGGGUUAUAAACCGCUUUCGCCUGUAACGAAGCGUGAGUGACGGUAAUGGGUAAAGAAGCACCGGCUAACUACGUG
rnacentral:rRNA from 1 species